AUUGAACGCUGGCGGCAGGCCUAACACAUGCAAGUCGAACGAGUGGCGGACGGGUGAGUAAUGUCUGGGCAACUGCCCGAUGGAGGGGGAUAACUACUGGAAACGGUCGCUAAUACCGCAUACCAUCGGAUGUGCCCAGAUGGGAUUAGCUAGUAGGUGGGGUAACGGCUCACCUAGGCGACGAUCCCUAGCUGGUCUGAGAGGAUGACCCGCCAAACUGGAACGGAGGCACGGGCCAGACCGCUAAGGGAGGCAGCAGUAGGGAAUUUUCGGGAAAGGACGGAAGUCUGACCGAGGAAAGCCGGGGGAGUGAAGGAGGUUUUUGGGGCGUAAAGCUCGUUGGGAGAGAAGACGUUAACGAACGAAGAAGGGACGGCUAACUACGUGCCAGCAGCCGCGGUAAUUC
rnacentral:rRNA from 1 species